rnacentral:rRNA from 1 species
UGAACGCUAGCGGCAGGCCUAAUACAUGCAAGUCGGACGGGAUUGAGAAGCUUGCUUUUCAUGAGAGUGGCGCACGGGUGCGUAACACGUAUGUAACCUACCUUAUCCAGGGGGAUAGCCUCUCGAAAGAGAGAUUAAUACCGCAUAACAUUACCGGACAGCAUUUUUUGGUAAUCAAAUAUUUAUAGGGAUAAGAUGGGCAUGCGGGACAUUAGCUAGUUGGCGGGGUAACGGCCCACCAAGGCGACGAUGUCUAGGGGAUCUGAGAGGAUGACCCCCCACACUGGUACUGAGACACGGACCAGACUCCUACGGGAGGCAGCAGUAAGGAAUAUUGGUCAAUGGGCGCAAGCCUGAACCAGCCAUGCCGCGUGCAGGAAGACGGCCCUACGGGUUGUAAACUGCUUUUGCAGGGGAAUAAACCCCGGUACGUGUACCGGGCUGAAUGUACUCUGAGAAUAAGGAUCGGCUAACUCCGUGCCAGCAGCCGCGGUAAUACGGAGGAUCCAAGCGUUAUCCGGAUUUAUUGGGUUUAAAGGGUGCGUAGGCGGCCAAUUAAGUCAGGGGUGAAAGACGGUAGCUUAACUAUCGCAGUGCCUUUGAUACUGAUUGGCUUGAAUACACUAGAGGUAGGCGGAAUGUGACAAGUAGCGGUGAAAUGCAUAGAUAUGUCACAGAACACCAAUUGCGAAGGCAGCUUACUAUGGUGUGAUUGACGCUGAGGCACGAAAGCGUGGGG